rnacentral:lncRNA from 11 species
CUUCAAGGGAGCAGCCUUUGUAUCUCAUAUCUCAGUGCCUCUACCUGUGUGCUCUUCUAUGCUUUGGGAGAAAGCUGUCUGCUUGCCUCUUCUCUGCUUGUGGAGAUUGCUGUCCACUUUGAGGAAGUUUGGAAGAUACUGACAAAAACAAAUGGAACAGAAUUCACAAGCUUUCCCAUUGGCCAGAUUCACAUCUUUUCUUCCAACACGAUGGGUGCAACUACUGUCAGCAUGGAGAUAACAAGGCAACAUCUACCUGACCUGCCUGGUAGGAAAUAAAAUAACUGUUGGUAGCAUUGCUGAAAACGCAUGGUGUCCAAUAAUACUUUUAAUUAUUAAAUAAUUGUUUUAAUAAUUGUUUUAAUAAUUGUAUUUUGUAUCUGGAUG